rnacentral:tRNA from 1 species
GCCCUGGUGGUCUAGUGAUUAAGAUUCCAUAUUUCCACUGCAGGAGUCACAGGUUCAAUUCCUGUUCAGGCCA